rnacentral:tRNA from 1 species
GAAUAAUGAAGCAAUAAUUGCGUUUAGUUUCGACCUAACUGUAGGUAGACAUACCCUUAUUCU